GUUCCCAUGAGUACUGGACUUGGAACACUGGGGACCAUGGACUUUGCCGUCACUAGGGACUUCUCUGUCCUUCGUGACACAGUGAGACCCGAGUCUAAGGAGGUGACUAGGAAGGAGCAUUCUCCCAAAGUCAAGAGGAAACUGAGCCUGCCUGAAGAGGAGGAGGAGGAGGAGAGCCCCCAGAACCAGGAACCAAACCUCCAUGAAAUGUCCAUAUCUGAGCUUCAAGAUGAAUUAUUAAAGUCAAAAGGAGAAAAGAAAAGAAUACGCAGGACUUUGAGAAACUUUGAAGAAGAUUUUUUUCAGAAAAAUGGAAGGAAGGUACAGAGGGAUGACAGAGAACCAUUACAGACAGAAUACACAUGUUACAAGCAAGUGAAAGCGAAGUUAAAGCUUUUAGAGGCAUUACUUUCAAAAUUACAAACCACGGAUGAAGUUUGACCCCUGUGCUUCUUGAGACCCCUGUGUUCAAAGACCGAGUUGUAAAUGGGAGUGAGGCAGUCUGGAGGAUCAUCAGGGAGAGCUGUAUCUAGUCAGACACCACUGUGACAAGGAAAGGAGGAUGUGUCCAGGUGCCAAGGAGAUCAGCCUGUGUUGUGAAGAAUUGUAUGAAAUGGACACAAAGAGUGUUAGAGCUUCGUCAGACAUGUUGUUGCCUUGACAUCUUUGUAUCUUAUUACCUGUUCAGUCCCUGAUUUGACUUGUUUAUAUUGAAGUGCAUUUAUAUGCUCAUCAUUUGUAUAUUGUUGAAUAUUUUAGCCACUAGCUUUACAUGCAGUACCGUCCUUUUGUGAAAGUCACUAUCUUACAUGUUAGUUUUCUUACUUGUAUACUAGUGAUGCUAUUAUUGUAGGGUAACAACCGAUUAACCCAUUGAAUUUUUUGUUUCAUUGUUGAGUACUCUAGUCCUUUGUUCCAGAUAUUCUGUACUUAGUUGUCAUGUGUCUCUGUAACAUGUGACAUGUAAAAAGAAAAUGUCAAAACUGUUACUUGACAGUUUUAUGUAAUAAAUCCGCACAAUCAUACAUUUCAAAGUGUUCAGGAACAAAGAAUUGCUCUUUUGAUAAAUAUUUUUAUAAACAGUAAAAUUUCCCCCAAGUUUUUACAUGGAAAAAAAGGGAUAUGGUGUGAGGUUGAUAUGCUCUUCUGUGAAGUUGAUAUGUACAUGUAUUUAUUGAUGAUUUAAAAGAAAAAGAUUCAUCUCAUCUUUUAAUUUAUUUUCUUUAAGAGGAGUUAGAAACAGUCAUUGGUAGAAUAGAAUUUAUAUGCUUUCAAUAACAUUACCUAGGAUUUCUAUUUUAAGUUACUCAAGUCAAUACAUGUAUUGCAAAAUAUAUGUUAGCAUCUGAUAUAAAACAAGUCAAUUUAUUUUAUUGAAUAGCACAGUAAAAGUGAUAUAAAUGGUUUAAAUAGCAUCAUUGGGGGAAGGAGAGACAGAAUAGUAUCAUACAUCUUUACUUCAUGUUAGAAAUUAACAUUCCAUUCUUUGAGUGUGUCUCCAUGACUUGAACUUAGUGAAGGUCAUUUGAAGAUUGUGUACAGGACCGUGCCCCAAGUUAUGGAGCCGUUCUUUUAAGUGAUAAAACAAAUGGCAUUGUGAAUUUGUACUUGUGUUUCAGUUUAUAUCAACUAUUGUUGUGUGACUGGAUGAGAGAUUUUAGGUGUAUGAUUGUGUUACAGACUUAAGGUUUUGGUUCCCUGUGAGCUUAUGUGCCAAGCUGCUUUUUAUGUGUGUUUUCAUAUUCUGAAUUACAUCAUUUGUUAUGAAAAGGCAAUACAAUUAUAUAAGCAUUUUAAAUGCUUCCAAGCCCCCCCCCCCCCCCCCCCCCCCCACACAUAAAUAUUUAUUUUUUGAUUUAAGUGCUGUGUAAGAUCUGAUUGUAGACGUUGCAACGUUGUAAAUCAAGAAAAAAAAUUUUUUACAGUGCCACAAGUAUGAAGUAAAUACUUUUCAUAUGGGAACAUAGAGAUAUUUUAUAGAUAUUUUUAGAAGCUUAUUAGAUAGAACAAAUUGCUAUUUGUCAUCCACUUAUAUAUGAGCUCACAAUUGAUGUGAAACAUUCCGGGAUAGUUGGUUUUCAGUAUCUUUAUUUGUCAGUGCUGUUGUUUCUGAGACUGAAAAGACAGUUCUGUGUCUCUGAUCCAAUUGUUGUGAAUAUUGUACAGAUCUGUAACAUUUUCCUUUUGUUAAAGUUGUUACAUAUAUUAUUACUCUAAAAUUAAAACUAUUUUAAGCUU
rnacentral:misc_RNA from 1 species